UACGAAGGGUGCAAACGUUGCUCGGAAUUAUUGGGCGUAAAGCGCACGUAGGCGGCUCCACAUGUCGGAUGUGAAAUCCCUCGGCUCAACCAAGGAAGUGCAUCCGAAACUGCGGAGCUUGAGUACUUAAGAGGAUCGCGGAAUUCCCGGUGUAGAGGUGAAAUUCGUAGAUAUCUGGAGGAACACCGGUGGCGAAGGCGGCAUCCUGGACCAACACUGACGCUGAGUGAGCGAAAGCCAGGGGAGCAAACGGG
rnacentral:rRNA from 1 species